AGAGUGAACGCUGGCGGCAGGCCUAACACAUGCAAGUCGAACGGCAGCACAGCCCUAGCAAUAGGGUGGGUGGCGAGUGGCGGACGGGUGAGGAAUACAUCGGAAUCUACCUUGUCGUGGGGGGAUAACGUAGGGAAACUUACGCUAAUACCGCAUACGAACUAUGGUUGAAAGCGGCGGACCGCAAGGCGUCGCGCGAUUCGGAUGAGCCGAUGUCCGAUUAGCUAGUUGGCGGGGUAAAGGCCCACCAAGGCGACGAUCGGUAGCUGGUCUGACGAGAUGAUCAGCCACACUGGAACUGAGACACGGUCCAGACUCACGGGAGGCAGCAGUGGAAUAUUGGACAAUGGGACGCAAGCCUGACUCCGAGCCAGUCGCCGCGUGUGUAGAAGA
rnacentral:rRNA from 1 species